UAUAUUACUUGAAGGAUUACUUUUAAAUUCAGAAAUGAACUUUUAGUUUGUCAAAAAUAUAUAUAUUUUGACACUUCUGUUUUCUCGACAUUCCAAAUCAGCAUUGAAAAAGACGCAAGUUCAAGUUUGUUCCACCUGAGCGAGUCUGACCACAAAUCAGAGACCACUGAUGACACACAAACUGUUUGAUGGAUCUUGGGAAAAGAGCAGCAAUAGGCUUUUGUAGGCUACAGUCCAAGCGAUGUCUUCUAAUGGUGCCACUGCUGUCAGCAUCCAAAGCUUGUCCAACUUGAAUAAAUGCUUGAAGACCACAUGUAACCACGCGAGCCUAGGAUCUCCACAUCCAGCUUCUCCACAUGCGGGAUCAUCUGAGAUGAGCCACCCUGACAGCUGAUGAAACUCUGGGUUUGCACAAUCAAAGAAUUUCUGCACAACCUGUCAGAAACCGUCUCAGGGAGGCUCAUCACUACUUUCAUUUAUGAGGAGCUGUCUCUAUACUACUGGCAUACAGCUCUGACACCCAUGCAUACCCCACAAGACGUGCCACAAGAGGUCUCUUCACAGUCCCCAAGUCCAGAACAGACUAUGGGAGGCACACAGUACUACAUAGAGCCAUAACUACAUGGAACUAUAUUCCACAUCAAGUAACUGAUGCAAGCAGUAAAAUUAGAUUUAAAAAAUAUGAAGAAAAAAAACAACACCUUAUGGAACAGCGGGGACUGUGAAGCAUCACAAACAUUGGCACAGACACACGAUAAUAUAUGCACUAUACAAACACAUGGGUUUAGUACUGUAGAUAUGUGGCGGAGUAGGGGCCUGAGGGCAUACAGUGUGUUGUGAAAUCUGUGAAGGUAUUGUAAUGUUUUUAAAAUUGUAUAAACUGCUUUCAUUUUGCUGACCCCAGGAAGAAUAGCAGCUAAUGGGGAUCCAUAAUAUAGACAAAUACAUCUGCAUGCUCGUUGUCCUCACCUGUGUCUUGACCUGACUGCAGUUUGGCGUUGUAACCGACUUCAGUGGUGAAGUCUGCUUUUCACAGAUGAAUCCUGGUUUCAACUGUACCGGGCAGAUGGCAGACAGCGUGUAUGGCGUCGUGCGGGCAAGCAAUUUGCUGAUGUCAACAUUGUGAAGAGAGCGCCACAUGGUGGCGAUGGGGUUAUGGUAUGGGCAGGCAUAAUCUACCCACAUGAUUGCAAUUUUAAUGCACACAUACCGUGACGAGAUCCUGAGGCCCAUUGUCAUGCCAUUCACCCUCCGCUAUCACCUCAUGUUUCAGCACACUGUCUGCCAUCUGCUUGGUUAUUACUGCAUUGUCGGAACUAGAAGCACAAGCAUUUCGCUACACUCGCAUUAACAUCUGCUAACCAUGUGUAUGUGACAAAUAUAUAUAUAUAUAUUUGAUUUGAUAAUGCAUGGCUACCCAUGCUAGAUUACGGAGACAUAAUUUAUAGAUCGGCAGGUAAGGGUGCUCUCAAGCGGCUAGAUGUUCUUUACCAUUCUGCCAUCAGAUUUGCCUGCACGCUCCUCUUUUCAGUUUGCUGCAGCUCGCGACUGGAACGAGCUGCAACAAACACUCAAAUUGGACAUUUUUAUCUCAAUCUCUUCAUUCAAAGACUCAAUCAUGUACACUCUUACUGACAGUUGUGGCUGCUUUGUGUGAUGUAUUGUUGUCUUCCUUCUUGACCUUUUGUGCUGUUGACUGUGCCCAAUAAUAUUUGUACCAUAUUUUGUGCUGCUACCAUGUUAUAUUGGGUUGCUACCAUGCUGUUUUGUCAUGUGUUGCUGCCUUGUUAUGUUGUUGUCUUAGGUCUCUCUUUAUGUAGCGUUGUCUAUCUUGUAGUGAUGUGUUUUGUCCUAUAUUUAUAUUGUAUUUAUAUUUAAUCCCAGCCCCGUCCCCGCAGGAGGCCUUUUGGUAGGCCGUCAUUGUAAAUAAGAAUUUGUUCUUAACUGACUUGCCUAGUUAGAUAAAUAAAAAAUAGCCCCAUGU